CCUACGGGCGGCUGCAGUGGGGAAUAUUGCACAAUGGGCGCAAGCCUGAUGCAGCCAUGCCGCGUGUGUGAAGAAGGCCUUCGGGUUGUAAAGCACUUUCAGCGGGGAGGAAGGCGGUGAGGUUAAUAACCUCAUCGAUUGACGUUACCCGCAGAAGGAGCACCGGCUAACUCCGUGCCAGCAGCCGCGGUAAUACGGAGGGUGCAAGCGUUAAUCGGAAUUACUGGGCGUAAAGCGCACGCAGGCGGUCUGUCAAGUCGGAUGUGAAAUCCCCGGGCUCAACCUGGGAACUGCAUUCGAAACUGGCAGGCUAGAGUCUUGUAGAGGGGGGUAGAAUUCCAGGUGUAGCGGUGAAAUGCGUAGAGAUCUGGAGGAAUACCGGUGGCGAAGGCGGCCCCCUGGACAAAGACUGACGCUCAGGUGCGAAAGCGUGGGGAGCAAACAGGAUUAGAUACCCCAGUAGUC
rnacentral:rRNA from 1 species